rnacentral:lncRNA from 1 species
AAAGACCCCUCGUCAGUAUCACAGAGGGGCAACAUCCUGAUCUCACCACCCGGCAGAGCUUCACAGUGUGCGUAGCCGGUGUGGUUCUCAACUCCCUCGUAAAAUGGGAGGUUUAUAUGGUCUCCAUCCUUGUCCAUCUCCAUAGGAGGAGGAGGAGUGUUCGAUCUAUCAUCGCGGCUUCGGCUCGGGCCGCGUUCAACUGGUAUGUCCUGAGUAUAGUCAAAGGGCUCAGGCACCCUUACAUCCUCCGCAGAGGGGAAGUGUAUCUUUCCUCUGCCACCCAUCCCAUAAAUAUGAGGAACGGGGGCACUUGUGCUGGCAGGUUUGUCGGAAGAGUCCCUAGCAUGCUU